rnacentral:rRNA from 1 species
CCUACGGGAGGCAGCAGUGGGGAAUAUUGGGCAAUGGAGGAAACUCUGACCCAGCAACGCCGCGUGAAGGAUGAAGGUCUUCGGAUUGUACACUUCUUUUCUAAGGGAAGAAGCAAGUGACGGUACCUUACGAAUAAGCCUCGGCUAACUACGUGCCAGCAGCCGCGGUAAUACGUAGGAGGCAAGCGUUAUCCGGAAGGACUGGGCGUAAAGGGUGCGGAGGGGGUUUGACAAGUUGGUAGCGGAACCCCGGGGCUCAACCUCGGCACUACUACCAAAACUGUCGGACUUGAGUGCAGGAGGGGCAAAUGGAAUUCCUAGUGUAGCGGUGGAAUGCGUAGAUAUUAGGAGGAACACCAGUGGCGAAGGCGAUUUGCUGGACGGUAACUGACACUGAGGCACGAAAGCGUGGGGAGCAAACAGGAUUAGAUACCCGAGUAGUC